GACGAACGCUGGCGGCGUGCUUAACACAUGCAAGUCGAACGGAAAGGCCCUGCUUUUGUGGGGUGCUCGAGUGGCGAACGGGUGAGUAACACGUGAGUAACCUGCCCUUGACUUUGGGAUAACUUCAGGAAACUGGGGCUAAUACCGGAUAGGAGCUCCUGCUGCAUGGUGGGGGUUGGAAAGUUUCGGCGGUUGGGGAUGGACUCGCGGCUUAUCAGCUUGUUGGUGGGGUAGUGGCUUACCAAGGCUUUGAUGGGUAGCCGGCCUGAGAGGGUGACCGGCCACAUAGGGACUGAGAUACGGCCCAUACUCCUACGGGAGGCAGCAGUGGGGAAUAUUGCACAAUGGGCGGAAGCCUGAUGCAGCGACGCCGCGUGCGGGAGGACGGCCUUCGGGUUGUAUACCGCUUUCGCCUGUGACGAAGCGUGAGUGACGGUAAUGGGUAAAGAAGCACCGGCUAACUACGUG
rnacentral:rRNA from 1 species